rnacentral:rRNA from 1 species
UCGUAACAAGGUAACCGUAAAGUUUGAUCCGGGGUCAGGAGUUCUUAACCUGGGAACCGGAAAGAUGGAGGGGGGUAACUACAGUAAAAACAAGGUAACAGCGAAUAUUGUCCCGGGACCCGGAAGGGGGACCUUCGGGCCUCUUGCCAUCAAAUGUGCCCCCAUGGGAUUAUCUAGUAGGUGGGGUAACGGCUCACCUAGGCGACGAUCCCUAGCUGGUCUGAGAGGAUGACCAGCCACACUGGAACUGAGACACGGUCCAGACUCCUACGGGAGGCAGCAGUGGGGAAUAUUGCACAAUGGGCGCAAGCCUGAUGCAGCCAUGCCGCGUGUAUGAAAAAAGCCUUCGGGUUGUAAAGUACUUUCAGCGGGGAGGAAGGUGUUGAGGUUAAUAACCUCUUCAAUUGACGUUACCCGCACAAGAAGCACCGGCUAACUCCGUGCCACCAGCCGCGGUAAUACGGAGGGUGCAAACGUUAAUCGGAAUUACUGGGCGUAAAGCGCACACAGGCGGUCUGUCAGUCGGAUGUGAAAUCCCCGGGCUCAACCUGGGAACUGCAUUCUAAACUGGGAGGCUAUAGUCUUGUAUAGGGGGGUAGAAUUCCAGGUGUAGCGGUGAAAUGCGUAGAGAUCUGGAGGAAUACCGGUGGCGAAAGCGGCCCCCUGUACAAAGACUGACGCUCACGUGCUAAAACGUGGGGAGCAAAACAGGAUUUAGAUACCCUGGGAUCCACGCCGCAAACGAUGUCGACUUGGGAGGUUGUGCCCUUGAGGCGUGGCUUUCUGGAGCUAACGCGUUAAGUCGACCGCCUGUGGAGAACGGCCGCAAGGUUAAAACUCACAUGAAUUGACGGGGGGCCGCACAAACGGGUGGAGAAUGGUGGGUUUAAUUUUGAUUGCUACGCUGAAAACCCUUUACUCUUACUUUUUU